CAUUCCCCCCAAAUUUUGGUCGAUUUCUUCACCUACUUCACGUUUUUUUUCUCCUUUCCUCUCCAAGCCCUAAACCUGCCUCCCCUUCUCCUUUCCUCUCCAAGCCCUAAACCCAUCGCCCCUUCACGACUCGUAGCGAACCAGUCGCAGGGAGGGAGAGAGAUGGGCAACAGAGGCCACAAGCAUAGGAGCAACCAAGGAGGAUUAGCAACGGAGGUCGCAUGAUCCAGAGGACGACUCCAGGAACGAACGGUGUGGCCAAGCAUCAUGGCCAUGGAGGCGCGGUCAUCGCAGCAAUGACGGCAGCGAUGUGAGGUGGGAGGGUUGCAUGGAGUUCGAGGAAGGGUCGGAUGGGGGAUCUGAUGGAGGAGAGAGCCUUGCGACUGCCAUUUCUAUCUGAUGGAGUUCGAGGAAGGGUCGGCGGGCAGCUUCUCUUCUUCCAACCGAACAAGAAUCCCUUCACUAGUACCCUCCCCGCGACUGCCAUUUCUAUCGUAGCCAAGGCCACCACCCGGAGAGAGAACCGUACCGCUCGACAUGAACGCAUCCGCAAGAAGGUAUUCUCUGAUGGGUGUGCUUUCCCAUGCAUGAUUUCCAGUUUCUCUAGCUGACUUAUGAAUUGUUGCUAAUGUACAAAUUUUAGCUAUCUUCUCACCGCGUGAACUAAUGAAUAGAUUCGUAUAAUGAACAGUAGACUAUCAGGGAGAAAUUUGACGGGGAAUAUACCUGCAGAGCUUGCUAGUUUAACUGGCCUAGUCGAAUUAUGGCUUGAUGGAAACGUGCUUAGUGGCCAUAUACCUACUCUCGGUGCAUGCUUAAGUCUCAGAAACAUGUAAUAUAUAAAUAUUGCUGGUUUAUAUAUCAAACACUUAAUCAUUCGCUAGACUUUUUGAAUUGUUUUUUUGCAGUCACCUUGAGAACAAUAAGUUAACUAGUGAUCUAUCAUUUUGGCCUAUCAAAUUUACAAGAACUGUAUGUCCUUUCUUGCCAUUAUAUUGUCAUUUAACGAACAUCAAUGUUUGCCCAAAUUUGUUCUCUUUUAACGUUUGGCUUUGUCUAGCACCAACUCCAGCAUGAAGUAACUAUUGAGCUUGCAGGUACGUGCAGAAUAAUAUGCUUUCCGGAACAGUACCUGGUCAUCUUCUUGGCAAAAAUAUAGUUUUCACGUGGGUAUUUCUUAUUAGAUUGUGUUGAAUAUCUCUUUAAGUCCUACUUUCCAAUGAAAUUACAAUUAUCAAACUUGGGUAUGCUAUUUUGAGGCGUAUCCCCAAGAAACUUAGACUAUUUUCAAGAGAAGGUAGGUACGACUCAAUACAACUGACUAACUUUUGUCUGAAACAUGUAUAUGAAUUAAAGAUAUUGUUUUUUCAUUUGCAGAUGAUCUUCCACCUCCCCAACCAUUCCAAGAGUUAAGUGCUUCUUUCGGAGGAUUUGCCAUUGAAACAGCACAUAGAUAUUGGUUAUCUGAAAUCAACGAUGCCACAGAAAACUUUGCUAAAAAAGUUGGUUCUGGGGGCUAUGGGAUAGUGUAUUAUGGAAAGUUGAAAAACGGAAAAGACAUUGCCGUCAAAGUUCAAACCAAUGAUUCUUGUCAGGGAAACAGGCAGUUCUCAAGUGAGGUUUCUCUACUUUCAAGAAUACAUCACAGAAAUCUGGUUGAAUUUCUCGGUUACUGCCAGCAAGAAGGCAAAAGCAUUCUUGUAUAUGAGUUUAUGCAUAAUGGAGCACUGAAAGAGCAUCUUCAUGGGAAAAGAUAAUGAUCCCGUACCCAGAAA